rnacentral:rRNA from 1 species
GAUGAACGCUGGCUACAGGCUUAACACAUGCAAGUCGAGGGGAAACGACGGGGAAGCUUGCUUCCCCGGGCGUCGACCGGCGCACGGGUGAGUAACGCGUAUCCAACCUGCCUCUGACUGAGGGAUAACCCGUCGAAAGUCGGCCUAAUACCUCAUGGCAUCGUCUGCGGGCAUCCAACGACGAUUAAAGAUUUCAUCGGUCAGGGAUGGGGAUGCGUCUGAUUAGCUUGUUGGCGGGGUAACGGCCCACCAAGGCUACGAUCAGUAGGGGUUCUGAGAGGAAGGUCCCCCACAUUGGAACUGAGACCCGGCCAAAACUCCUACGGGAGGAAGCAGUAGGGAAUAUUGGUCAAGGGGCGGGAGCCUGAACCAGCCAAGUAGCGUGCAGGAUGACGGCCUUAUGGGUUGUAAACUGCUUUUAUGCGGGGAUAAAGUGAGGGACGUGUCCUUCAUUGCAGGUACCGCAUGAAUAAGGACCGGCUAAUUCCGUG